rnacentral:rRNA from 1 species
GGCGGGUCCGCCCGCCGAUUGGACAACAUUCAAACCCUUUGCAGUUGCAAUCAGCGUCUGAAAAAACAUAAUAGUUACAACUUUCAACAACGGAUCUCUUGGUUCUGGCAUCGAUGAAGAACGCAGCGAAAUGCGAUAAGUAGUGUGAAUUGCAGAAU